GGAUAACAGUUAGAAAUGACUGCUAAUACCGCAUAAGCGCACAGGACCGCAUGGUCCGGUGUGAAAAACUCCGGUGGUAUGAGAUGGACCCGCGUCUGAUUAGCUGGUUGGUGAGGUAACGGCCCACCAAGGCGACGAUCAGUAGCCGGCCUGAGAGGGUGAACGGCCACAUUGGGACUGAGACACGGCCCAAACUCCUACGGGAGGCAGCAGUGGGGAAUAUUGCACAAUGGGGGAAACCCUGAUGCAGCGACGCCGCGUGAAGGAAGAAGUAUUUCGGUAUGUAAACUUCUAUCAGCAGGGAAGAAAAUGACGGUACCUGACUAAGAAGCCCCGGCUAACUACGUGCCAGCAGCCGCGGUAAUACGUAGGGGGCAAGCGUUAUCCGGAUUUACUGGGUGUAAAGGGAGCGUAGGCGGUUUAGCAAGUCAGAAGUGAAAGCCCGGGGCUCAACUCCGGGACUGCUUUUGAAACUGUUGAACUAGAUUGCAGGAGAGGUAAGUGGAAUUCCUAGUGUAGCGGUGAAAUGCGUAGAUAUUAGGAGGAACACCAGUGGCGAAGGCGGCUUACUGGACUGUAAAUGACGCUGAGGCUCGAAAGCGUGGGGAGCAAACAGGAUUAGAUACCCUGGUAGUCCACGCCGUAAACG
rnacentral:rRNA from 1 species